AGCUCCACAGCACGCGCCAGCCUCGGCCAGCCCCGGGAAGCGGGACUCAGAAAUUCAAAGUGAGAGACAGCAAAGACAGCUCCACGUCAUGCAGCCGAGAUGCAGAGCACAGUGCAACCUGUCCUUCUUCACCAGCAUUAAUUUGUCCAUAUGCACAGUCAGAUGUGCUCUUAUGACAGCACUGUAGGAGCUUGCAGCUCUUCAGAGCAUCCAAGCAGUAGUUCAAAAGCACCUGGUUUACUCUGCAUUGGAGUGAAAGAGGAGCACUCGGCACAGCCUGUCAAUGUGCUGGUGCCAGAGAGGUAAUCACUUCUUAGAGUGCACAAACACGACCGGAAAAGUACCUUUUAUUACAGUACCUCUGGAGACUUAGAUUUAAAAAAGUUAACCUUCUCUUUGCAUCAUUGCCAACCAGCAAUACCAAACAUCAGGGAUACCUAUGAGAAAACGUAUUUAUUAUAUUGAUUACACACUACUGUUUAAAAACUUCUGUGGGUCUUCAGUGUAUCAGAAAAUGCAGUGGAACACUAGAAACAACAACAACAACAAAAAAACCCUGAUAGAGUCAAGUAAGCACAACAGGAUGACGGAAUUUUAAUUAAGUGUGUGGGGGCACCACAGGUCUGAGCUUUCCAGAUUCCAGCCUUGCAUGUGUCCCUGAUAAAUGUUGCAGGACAUACUCUUAAAUGCACAUCUGACAUACCUACCCUCACAGGCUCUGUCCCCUGUAAUUACACAACAUGAAUGUGAAAAUCAGGCAAUCCUUCAGCCCUCAGAAAAUGCAGGGAAUUGUACCUUUUCAGGAAAGCAGAGCUGCAGAGGAAGGUACCAGACCAGGGAGCCCAGACUUUCAGGAUUGCCUGGAGAUGGAAAGACCAAGAGAUGAAAACAUGACAAAGGGUGGUGCAUCGAAAUGGAAAGGGAUGCAGCUGAAGCACUGGGCAAGACCACAGUCAGUGAUCUGAUCUAGCAUGAGAGUGAUGCAAUGUGUGAGUGACUGUGGUCUAAGGGCAGUUUUUAGAGUGAGGAUCAGGAAGGUGCCACAUCUGUGCAGUGCAAGGAGGAUGCAGCAGAGCUGGACACGGAUGGCUUGAAGUGACACAGAGGAAGCAAGCGAGGCAGAAGAGCAAAAGACAGCCUACUGUGGGAAGAGCAGCAUGCAGUCCACGAAGGGCAUUGCUGGAAGAACCUCCAGGCAGAGAUGGCCAUGUUUCAGCAUGUGCAAUUGCAGAACGCGCGGCUGGAACAACUCCGCUGCAGAGAAGUGCUGGGAUUCCCUCUGCCAACACGUCUCCAGCACAUGAGUCCCCACUGCCACAUCGAGGUGGCCCAGCUGAGCGAACAGGAGAGCUGGGCUCCAUCCCUGUGGGUCUCAGUGGAAGGAGAUGACACUGUUCACAGCUGCUGAGACAAGGAAUGGGUCAGUCUGAGCACCAACAGCCGGCGUGAACCCAUGCCUCCUGAAGCAUUCACACUUAAGGUAACAUGUUUUCUUUGAAAACGUCUAAUACGGAGGAAGCGUUCGAAAGAGCAGAUAAUUAACUGGCGAAUGUCAGUCUGUAGUUUCUCAGACCCCCUGAGAGGACAGAUGCUGUUAGACAGACUGACUCCUUGCACGAGACCUGGGAAAAUGGUGCUUGGGAAAAAGCAGAAUGGGAUGGGUGCCCAAGCUUGAGCCUUCAGGGAGCAAGAGUCAGCCAAAAUGCUGGACAGCAGGAGACCAGUCAUGCUAAAGGAAAACAUCAGCAGGAAGGGGUUUAAGGACCUUUCACAAAGGGCUGUGAGCUGGGACAGAGAGGUCAAAGCACCCUCAGGGGGACCCCUGGAAGCUGUCUUAAUAGAACCCAGCCACUUUACCCUCGGAAAGAAAUGUUACUACAGUUCUCCUAGGCUUACUGGAAAACCUGGAGGGAACUGGCUAGUUGGGGUGGGGGUCUCUCCACAGCUAAGCCAUACCAUGAGGCAGCCUCAGGGGAGCCCCAGUUUUGCACGCUCUGGCACGUGCACAGCUCCUUUUCCCAGAGCUGACCGCCUUCCCCCUCGGCCGCACAGCGGAUGGGUGCCAGCUCCCUGACGGCGGGUGACAGCCCCUGCACCGGUGGCACAGUGUUUUCUGGUGGUUUCACGGAGGCUACUGGGGAGAUGCCACAGCGGCCGCAAUGGAGCCGUCAGCACUACCGCAAGGAAGGAGGAAAAAGCCUCUGCAGGAUGCCUGUAAAGGACAGCCAGCUACGGAGGACUUCACAGCCACACCUGGACCAUUUCUAAUCCCAGGCUGUGCUUGCUCUAUUCUUAUUGCUUCACCAACAUCUCUAGCAGCAAAAAAGCCAAAUGCCUCGCAGCAGCCUAUCAUAUACCCUGAUACAGUCAGUUUAUGCUCUCAGGAGGAGUUUAAACAUCUAUCUUCAUCUUGUCUUCUGCACCCCAGGAGUUUCCCCAAAGACUGACAGAAAUACAGUAACUGGUUAAUGGAGCUAGCUUAAAAAAAAUAAAUAAAUAAAAGAAAGGCAGGAAUGAUGGAUAGAAGUUUUCCACAGAUUUACAACCUUCUCCAGCAAGUUCCCAGCAGAGCAAAAAGACCAUGUGAAUCAAUCCAUGGUCAAGUUGUUACAGAAUCACACAUUCAGAGCUCUGCCUCUGCUAUCACAGACGGACAGCCCCCGCAACAGCCUGGCACAACUAGUGGUCAGCCCUUAUUUUCAAGCACUGUUAUCACUCCUGUGUGGGCGUGAGCUUAGCAAGCCUCACUGCUUUUAACAGGUUGUACUAAUUGUUCUGAAAAGACUAUUUCUGUUGAGCUUUUCUUAAGUCACCUUCCUAAGUAACAGGAUGAAAUGCAGAAAGCUGGAGUUAAACUUGCUAGCUGGUGAAAGCUAGUGCAUUGACAGCACAAGAGAGAGCAGAGAGAGUGCUGGUGCUCAUAAAAAGACUGCUAGCAAGGCUUGUAGUUUUUACCUCCAUGUGACCUCAUACACCAGGUUUGUCUUUUCCUCACACACACACCCCCACAUGCUAAUAUAGGUGUUUGCAAUUCUUAAAUUAAAGCAUUAGUAAAAUAUAUUAAGACUCAAAAGAACAGGAGUUUUGCCUGGCUGAAUCUCAGCUGGAGCUGCCAGAAGUUAACACUAGUAAAGGUUUUGAAAGAGAACAAAUCUCAGCUCGGGUUUUAAACUAAUUCCUAACUAUCAGGAGUUGCAGGGAGAUGUGUAGAGAGCCAGAAGGUGGGGGAGGAAAGAAAAGGCUUGCGUGAGGGCAUUGCCUAUAGCCGUUUUCCAGCAGAGAAGUUUGCAUUAUAGAAAAGGGUAACCAAGUCAGCUAGGACUUCUCAGCUGAAGGAAAGAGGCAGCGGAGAGACACAUGCCAGAGAUGCAUGCAGUCAUAAGGAGUCUGAAAAAGGCAAAAAGCAAUCCGUGAUUCACCACCUCUUUUAACACAGCAGCCAGAGGACAUCAAAAGAAGGUAUUAGGAGUCAGCAUCACACCAAACAGGAGAUGGUUCCUCACACAGUUUGUAGGCAAAGCCACAGACCUCCCUGCAAAGAAGCAAUGUCAUGGAAACCAAAAUCCUAUGGGAGCUGAAAAGGAGGGUGAACAAGCUCCAGGGAUACAAAUCCACAACACACAUAGAAAUUGCAUCCUUCUCAUGAAGCUCCAAGCUGAACUCUUCCCAGGCAUCUGCUGACAUCCACAACCAACUAUGUGCUCCUGGGCUAAAGUGACCUUGGGUCCAAACCGGUGCAGCCAGCCACUCUUACCCGCUCACCGGGCUUUGGCACGGCCCUGGACUGGCCAGACCGCAGGCUCGGUACUGUCCAGCCAGCUCCACUCCUCAGUCCUCACCGCAAUGCACCCCACCCCUUCACACCAGGGAUUCACCAAAAGGCACCGGGGCACUGCAGGUUUCCUGUGCAGCUCCCAGCACCGUGGGAUGUGUUCACCGGGAGCAGCCUCCCGGGAAGCAGUCAGGCUGGAGAGAGCACAACUGAAGGGGCACAGAUACCAUCGGAGCUGCUCUCCCCGCUCAAAGGCAGACUUCACAAAAGUUCAGUGUCUGAUGAGAGGCUCAAUUCAGAAAUGAAGCGAAAGAGUUGCUGCUUAGAAAAAAGGCAUGGGAACGGUGACAAAAAAGGGAUGCCUUAGCAGCAGUAUCAAGUACUUGCAGGUAAAAUUUGUUUUCAGUCUGGUCAUCUUGUUUUACACCUGCACUUGAGUUUUUCUCCCCUUAAAGAAACGCUUGCUUCGUUGUUUGAAGUUGUUAGGAAGCAGUCAGCUGUUAUACUGAAUUAAGUGCUUUUUAUUAUGCAAAGGCUGACACUGUCUGAGCUGUAACUACGUGAAUGUGAACAGCAUAUUAAUUCAAAGUCUGUAUGAUUACACUUUACCAUUAAAGGUCACUCAGCAUUU